GUGGCCCAUCUUCCCCCUUCCCGGCCCACGCCGAUCAGGGAUUCAGGAACAGAGAGCGCGCGCGGCGGCCGGCGGCGUGCCGUUUCGACGGCGGUCGCCGCGCUGGCGCUGACUCCACAAAGUGGAAGUGGGUUGACGUGGCGUGGCGGCCAGUGAAGCGUCGGUGUCCUGACACAUGCAUGCUUGCCUGCCAUCGCGAGUUCGCGACGGCUACCUGCCGCCUUCCUUCUGUUCAGGUGGGUUUCAAUUCAAGCAGGCGUAGCUGCUGCUGCUGCUGCUGAGGUUCAUCAUCAUCAUCAUCCACUAAUAAAGUACUAGAAACACACAGAACGUAUUAAUUAGGUGCAGGAGAAAGGAAGCAACCACAAUGAUGAGAGUUUAUGAAUACGCUUUUGCUACGGGCUGUGUGUGUGGUCGAUUCAGCAGGGCAAGCUUGUACAUGUGGCCAUUCGAUUCCUGCUCUCUCACAAGAUUAAUCUUUCUCUGCUGGUUCUGGUUCCAUCGUCUCGUCGUCAACCAUGGCUGAGUUGUUCACUUCACAAGGCAAUGCAAUGCCUUCACCACUCACUCGCGUCGAGUGCACCCACCGCCAUGGAUUCUCCUUCCUUCUCUAGCCUUGGAAGCAAUGAUGGAGCUGACGACGAUGACACCGACGCUGCGUGGCCAUUGCAUGGAUCCCAAGCAAUCACCUCAGCCUCAGCUGGUGCGCUGCUGCCGCUGCACCGUCAGCUUCCCCCAAACAGUGCGUGUGAGUGUGACUACGAGAACGAGACGACGCGCUCGCAUACAUUACAUGGUCCAACCUCCACUUCAUCGGUGACGAAAAGUCAGCCUGUUUAUUCCUCAUACAUAACCCGAUCGGCAUCAGAAGCUUAUAUUUGAUCAGAAUAAUGAAUAGCCGAUAUCUGCAGAUUUCCUGGGUUAAUUAACAACCUGACAUUAACUUUGAGCUUCCACUUGCAGUUGCCGCAGCUCCCAAUUCGAUUGGGUGCGGAUAACAUGGCAUCGGGAGCUGAAAGCUGAUGGAUGGAAGGUCCUUGUCUGUCCAAGACGAUCUACCUUAACUGACACUGUUCGCGGCCAGCAUCCCCUUGCCUGAUUACCAGUGAGCGAACGAGUUAUAACACCUCUCGGCUUUUCCUGAUCAGGCAGCAAGGCACAUUUAGCAGCCUUCCAAUCAGCUUGUGCUGCAGUUGAUGAAGAAUCUAAUCCUCCUUUUUUCUUUUCGAUCGGUGCAUGAGUAGUCAGCGUUGCGUUUCUGCAGCUUCAUGGUCAUUACUCAUUACGUCCUGUAUUUAAAUAAAAAGAACACUAGGAAUCGACCGACAACCUGCCGCCGUUGCUGCAUUCAUUCAGAGAUGAUUUCAUUUCAGUUCGUCCAUGGAUGAUGUCAAGCUUACCCUGGGCUGAUGCAGGCAGCGCACUGCAAAUACGCAAAGCCUGAUGGCAUUGAUCAUCCCUUUGAGCAAAGCAAAGCAACGCAAAGCAAGCGUCCCGAGAUGGCAUUGGUCCAAGACGCCAAGGAAAAGCUUGAAUUUACAGGUGACGGAUGGUUGUUGAGGUGCUGCUGUCAGAGCUUGUACUUCCAUUCCAAAUGCCUAGAAGAAGAGCGUCAUCUGUUAACCUCAUCAUCCUGAAGUCCACUUCUGCUCCAACAUCUAGAAGAAGAGAUUGUUGAUUACACUGCCCAAUGCGUCGUCAUCUCCAUUGUUUCUCAGUCAGUGGCAGUAGUGUACGUUGAACCAUCUCCUGUCUUGCCCUGUAUUUUUAACUUUGACCUUUUUCUUGCGAGUGCAAAAAAAAAAGGCAACACACGUGGAUACAUACGGCCGAGAGUGUAGUACCGUUGCUUGGAGGUCUUGACCUCACCUCAGCAUCACUCUUGGCUCAGCUUCAGCUCCUAGUCCUAGUCCUACUGAUGACGGCGACCUGCUACUGGCGCCCGAGAGUGGCCUCUGCCCUCUGCUAGUCUGCUGCUACUAGAGUCCAGAGGGAGCCUGGGGGGAUUUGGUGACACUUAGACGUCUGAUCGAUGUGUGGCGUUCCAUCUAAUUGAUCCAUUCGCCUUGUUAAUUUGUUGCUGUAAUGUACUAUUACCUGUGUCUCUGGCUGUUUGUUUGUUGAAAUAAAAGGUGAAGAAAGCUUGUUCCUUUUUA